GGAAGGAUUGCUUAGUGGUUAAAGCACUGGACUUUGAGUCCAGAAAACUGGCUUUUAUUUACUGCCUCCA
rnacentral:tRNA from 1 species